AUUGAACGCUGGCGGCAGGCCUAACACAUGCAAGUCGAGCGAGCGGCGGACGGGUGAGUAAUGUAUGGGGACUGCCCGAUAGAGGGGGAUAACCACUGGAAACGGUGGCUAAUUCCGCAUACUAUCGGAUAACCCAUAUGGGAUUGGCUAGUUGGUGGGGUAACGGCUCACCUAGGCGACGACCUCUAGCUGGUCUGAGAGGAUGAUCAGCCACACUGGGACUGAGACAGGGCCCAGAUUCCUACGGAGGCAGCAGUGGGGAAUAUUGCACAAUGAGGGCAAGCCUGAUGAAGCAAUGCCGCGUGUAUGAAGAGGGCCUUAGGGUGGAAAAGUACUUUCAGCGGGGAGACGUUACCCGCAGAGGAAGCACCGGCUAACUCCGUGCCAGCAGCCGCGGUAAUAC
rnacentral:rRNA from 1 species